rnacentral:rRNA from 1 species
GACAGAGGGUGCAAACGUUGCUCGGAAUUACUGGGCGUAAAGCGCGUGUAGGCGGGAAGAUAAGUCGGGUGUGAAAUCCCUGGGCUCAACCUAGGAACUGCAUUCGAAACUGUCUUUCUGGAGUGAUGGAGAGGAAAGCGGAAUUCCCGGUGUAGAGGUGAAAUUCGUAGAUAUCGGGAGGAACACCAGUGGCGAAGGCGGCUUUCUGGCCAUCAACUGACGCUGAGACGCGAAAGCGUGGGGAGCAAACAGG